CCCCGAACGAACAGUUCCUCCGUGCCGCCGUCCUUCCUCCUCUCGAUGCGGCAGCGUUCCUCCCUCCUCGAUGCACUGUAGAUCCGCCGUGUUCGUGUAUUUAAUGGCGGCUGCAGCGGCCACCCGCGCCGUCGGCUUUCACCGCUGGCUGUCGCUGGAGGCAAACUACCUGGAUGGUUUGGUGGCGAUGGAGGCGCUAGAUACCUGCUUUCUCGCAUGCCUUCUCCUCGCCUCUGCUCUUCCCAGUGAUGCGGACCCAGGAACAGAGUCCAACCCUCUCUCCUUCUGUUUGUUCCUUCUUCUAAUUGUUCCUUCGUAUUCUAUUCUGCAUGCUAUUUGACAAACUUCAAAUUUUGUUUUUAUGUCUCAGUGUGCCUGGUUUAAAGUCCCAUGUGAGAAGAUCCUUCUGAGGAAGGCCAAGAAUUGGUACUGAAAUUCUCAAUAUGCAUAGGUACAAAGAACCUUGAAUUUGUCCAAGUGAGCAUGACAUUGAUUCCGGUUCUGUGGUAUUUGUGUCUAACUUAAUUCAUCUUGGCACCUGGUCAAAAUAAAUAAAUUCAUCUUGGCAUGAAUAUUAUGUGGUUCAAGUACUAAUCAAGUGAGCUGAGCAUUUAGUUUCUUCGUCACCAUGCUAAUAGUAGAUUUGUGCAAUGCUAUUAGGAAUAACAUCUUAUUUUAUCCACCGGUCUCUGGUAAAUGAGAAGUUCACUCUUUGUUUACACUUGUGACUAAAACACAUUUGGUUUCAUAUUGUAAUUUCUUUUUUCAGAUUUUGGCAUGUUAUUCUCGAAUAUAUUAUGCGCACGAUUUAUUUCUGGAAAUAUUUUCCCCUUUCUCGAGAGUCCAUAUUCACUAUUAAUUUCUGAAAGUCAACUUUUAUGUUGUUUAGCCCACAAUGCUCCUAGAAGUAUUACAUGGCACGUGGAGCGCAGGGUGAGUGCCCAUGUUAGCAAUCUUGUGUUCCUUUUUCCAGAUUUAGGGUUUAGUUUGGUUAAGAAAGCUUGUUGCACUGUAUUAACACUACUUGAUCUAUGGUUUGUAAGAUUUUGAGACCUGGAUCCUCUCUUUGGCAAGUAUUGCAGGCAACCGGUGAAGGCGAAGCCAUUUGUGAAUGCAAGGCAGACAGACUAUUAAAUGCCAUGAAAUUGUAAAGGUAUCUUUCUAUUCCUGCGCCCAGGUCGUUUAAGAAAAACAGUCCAUCAGUUGUGAGAUCUCUUACUGCUAAAAUCAGUGGUUGGUGUGGCAUGAGUAAAAUCGGUACCAUGACAUUUGGAUCUGACGUUUUAAUGUGUACCUGACACACCUUGAGGAUUAAAGCUGCGCUUGAGUCAAUUCGAAUAUUGUACAGUUAAUCUAUUUUGUCUAUUAGGAGUUAGAUCCAAAAGGCUAAGUUAUAUGUGAUAAAACUCAACUUA